CGAAAGCCUGACGGAGCAAUACCGCGUGAGGGAGGAAGGCUCUUGGGUUGUAAACCUCUUUUCUCAAGGAAGAAAACAAUGACGGUACUUGAGGAAUAAGCAUCGGCUAACUCCGUGCCAGCAGCCGCGGUAAUACGGAGGAUGCAAGCGUUAUCCGGAAUGAUUGGGCGUAAAGCGUCCGCAGGUGGCUGUGUAAGUCUGCUGUUAAAUAGUGAGGCUCAACCUCAUAAAGGCAGUGGAAACUACACGGCUAGAGUGCGUUCGGGGCAGAGGGAAUUCCUGGUGUAGCGGUGAAAUGCGUAGAGAUCAGGAAGAACACCGGUGGCGAAAGCGCUCUGCUAGGCCGCAACUGACACUGAGGGACGAAAGC
rnacentral:rRNA from 1 species